UGGGGGAUAUUGCACAAUGGGCGAAAGCCUGAUGCAGCGACGCCGCGUGGGGGAUGAAGGCUUUCGGGUUGUAAACCUCUUUCGCUAUCGAACAAGGCCCGCUUAGGGUGGGUUGAGGGUAGGUGGAGAAGAAGCGCCGGCUAACUACGUGCCAGCAGCCGCGGUAAUACGGAGGGUGCAAGCGUUAAUCGGAAUUACUGGGCGUAAAGCGCACGCAGGCGGUUGAUUGAGUCAGAUGUGAAAUCCCCGGGCUUAACCCGGGAAUUGCAUCUGAUACUGGUCAGCUAGAGUCUUGUAGAGGGGGGUAGAAUUCCAUGUGUAGCGGUGAAAUGCGUAGAGAUGUGGAGGAAUACCGGUGGCGAAGGCGGCCCCCUGGACAAAGACUGACGCUCAGGUGCGAAAGCGUGGGGAGCAAACAGG
rnacentral:rRNA from 1 species